rnacentral:rRNA from 1 species
GACGAACGCUGGCGGCGUGCUUAACACAUGCAAGUCGAACGGAAAGGCCCUGCUUUUGUGGGGUGCUCGAGUGGCGAACGGGUGAGUAACACGUGAGUAACCUGCCCUUGACUUUGGGAUAACUUCAGGAAACUGGGGCUAAUACCGGAUAGGAGCUCCUGCUGCAUGGUGGGGGUUGGAAAGUUUCGGCGGGUGGGGAUGGACUCGCGGCUUAUCAGCUUGUUGGUGGGGUAGUGGCUUACCAAGGCUUUGACGGGUAGCCGGCCUGAGAGGGUGACCGGCCACAUUGGAACUGAGAUACGGCCCAGACUCCAACGGGAGGCAGCAGUGGGGAAUAUUGCACAAUGGGCGGAAGCCUGAUGCAGCAACGCCGCGUGCGGGAUGACGGCCUUCGGGUUGUAAACCGCUUUCGCCUGUGACGAAGCGUGAGUGACGGUAAUGGGUAAAGAAGCACCGGCUAACUACGUG